GGAUGAGAGGGUGAUCUGGCUGUGAUAUCUGUCGCCCUACUGAUCGCCAGGGUUGGUCUGGCUGGCUAGGCAGGUGUCCCCUUCCUCCCUCACUCCAUGUGCACUUCUCCUGAAGAUGUGUGCUCAGUCUAAGAGGAUGACCUUCCCAGAAUAAAGACAAACUGGCUUUUGGUCAAAGGUAUACGAGUAGCUAUGCUCCCCUGCUAGAACCUUCAAACAAGCUUUCAAGAAAAUAGACUAGGUCGAGUAGCUGUGCUCCCCUGCUAGAACCUUCAAAUAAGCUUU
rnacentral:snRNA from 1 species